rnacentral:tRNA from 1 species
AAAAUCCGUUGACUUUAUAAAU